rnacentral:rRNA from 1 species
GACGAACGCUGGCGGCGUGCUUAACACAUGCAAGUCGAACGGAAAGGCCCUGCUUUUGUGGGGUGCACGAGUGGCGAACGGGUGCGUAACACGUGAGUAACCUGCCCUUGACUUUGGGGUAACUUCAGGAAACUGGGGGUAAUACCGGAUAGGAGCUCCUGCUGUGUGGUGGGGGUUGGAAAGUUUCGGCGGGUGGGGAUGGACUCGCGGCUUAUCAGCUUGUUGGUGGGGUAGUGGAUUAGCGAGGCUUUGGCGGGUAGCCGGCCUGAGAGGGUGACCGGCCACAGUGGGACUGGGGUACGGCCCAGAGUCCUACGUGGGGCAGCGUUGGGGAUUAUUGCGCAAUGGGCGGAAUCCUGAUGCAGCGACGCCGCGUGCGGGAUGACGGCCUUCAGGUUGUAAACCGCUUUCGCCUGUGACGAAGCGUGAGUGACGGUAAUGGGUAAAGAAGCACCGGCUAACUACGUG